GUCCACGCCGUAAACGAUGGGCACUAGGUGUGGGAGGUGUCGACUCCUCCCGUGCCGACGCUAACGCAUUAAGUGCCCCGCCUGGGGAGUACGGCCGCAAGGCUAAAACUCAAAGGAAUUGACGGGGACCCGCACAAGCAGCGGAGCAUGUGGUUUAAUUCGACGCAACGCGAAGAACCUUACCUGGGCUUGACAUGUUGGUGACCGGUGUGGAAACACACCUUUCCUUCGGGACACCAUCACAGGUGGUGCAUGGCUGUCGU
rnacentral:rRNA from 1 species